rnacentral:rRNA from 1 species
ACUCCUACGGGGCGCAGCAGCCGCGGUAAUACGUAGGGGGCAAGCGUUAUCCGGAUUUACUGGGUGUAAAGGGAGCGCAGACGGCUGUGCAAGUCUGGAGUGAAAGGCGGGGGCCCAACCCCCGGACUGCUCUGGAAACUGUAAAGCUGGAGUGCAGGAGAGGUAAGCGGAAUUCCUAGUGUAGCGGUGAAAUGCGUAGAUAUUAGGAGGAACACCAGUGGCGAAGGCGGCUUACUGGACUGCAACUGACGUUGAGGCUCGAAAGCGUGGGGAGCAAACAGGAUUAGAAACCCCUGUAGUCCAGA